GGCUCAGGAUGACGCUAGCGGUGUGCUAAUGCAUGCAAGUCGAACGGGAUCCUUGGAUUCGUCUGAGGUGAGAGUGGCGAACGGGUGAGUAACACGUAGGUGACCUGCCCUGGAGAGGGGGACAACCACUGGAAACGGUGGCUAAUACCCCAGAUGUCUAUGAGAUUAGAACCUUAUAGACUAAAGCUCCGGCGCUCCAGGAGGGGCCUGCGGCCCAUCAGCUAGUUGGUAGGGUAAUGGCCUACCAAGGCAAAGACGGGUAGGGGGCGUGAGAGCGUGACCCCCCACACUGGUACUGAGACACGGACCAGAUACCUGCGGGUAGCAGCAGCAAGGAAUAUUGCCCAAUGGACGCAAGUCUGAGGCAGCAAUGCCGCGUGGAGGAUGAAGGCCUUCGGGUUGUAAACUCCUUUUCUGGGUGAAGAGAUAGGACGGUAACCCAGGAAUAAGUCUCGGCUAACUACGUGCCAGCAGCCGCGGUAAAACGUAGGAGGCAAGCGUUAUCCGGAAUUACUGGGCGUAAAGCGCAUGCAGGCGGUCUUUUAAGUCGGACGUAAAAGCUCCCGGCUCAACUGGGAGAGGCCGUUCGAAACUGGAGGACUUGAGGAUGGUAGAGGCGAGUGGAAUUCCCGGUGUAGUGGUGAAAUGCGUAGAUAUCGGGAGGAACACCAGUGGCGAAGGCGGCUCGCUGGGCCAUACCUGACGCUCAGAUGCGAAAGCUAGGGGAGAGAACGGGAUUAGAAACCCCGGUAUUCCUAGCCGUAAACGAUGUCAACUAGGCGUAGAUGGUUAUUAACCCC
rnacentral:rRNA from 1 species